ACGGGGUGCAGCAGGCGCGAAACCUCCACAAUUCACGCAAGUGAGAUGGGGUUACCUCGAGUGCCAUCUGAAGAAGGUGGCUUUUCCAUGGUGUAAUGAGCCGUGGGAAUAAGGGGGGGGCAAGACUGGUGUCAGCCGCCGCGGUAACACCAGCCCCCCGAGUGGUGGGGAUGAUUAUUUGGCCUAAAGCGUCCGUAGCCAGCUCGGUAAAUCUCUCGUUAAAUCCAGCGUCCUAAGCGUUGGGCUGCGAGGGAAACUGCCGAACUAGAGGGUGGGAGAGGUCAGCGGUAUUCCUGGGGUAGGGGCGAAAUCCAUUGAUCCCAGGAGGACCACCAGUGGCGAAGGCUGCUGACUAGAACACGCCUGACGGUGAGGGACGAAAGCUGGGGUAGCGAAUCGGAUUAGAUACCCGAGUAGUCCCAGCCGUAAACGAUGCAGGCUAGGUGUUGGGUCGGCCAUGCGCCGCCUCAGUGCCACAGGGAAGCCAUUAAGCCUGCCGCCUGGGGAGUACGGCCGCAAGGCUGAAACUUAAGGGAAUUGGCGGGGGAGCACCACCAGGCGUGAAGCCUGCGGUUUAAUUGGAGUCAACGCCGGGAACCUUACCGGGAGCGACAGCAGAGUGAAGGCCAGGCUGAAG
rnacentral:rRNA from 1 species